UGGGGGAUAUUGCACAAUGGGCGAAAGCCUGAUGCAGCGACGCCGCGUGGGGGAUGAAGGCCUUCGGGUUGUAAACUUCUUUUGCUCUGAACAAGGCGCACCAUGGGGUGUGUCGAGUGUAGGGGUUGAUUAGCGCCGGCUAACUACGUGCCAGCAGCCGCGGUAAUACGUAGGGCGCGAGCGUUGUCCGGAAUUAUUGGGCGUAAAGGGCUUGUAGGUGGCUGGUUGCGUCUGUCGUGAAAGCUCAUGGCUUAACUGUGGGUUUGCGGUGGGUACGGGCUGGCUUGAGUGCAGUAGGGGAGGCUGGAAUUCCUGGUGUAGCGGUGGAAUGCGCAGAUAUCAGGAGGAAUACCGGUGGCGAAGGCGGGUCUCUGGGCUGUUACUGACACUGAGGAGCGAAAGCAUGGGGAGCGAACAGG
rnacentral:rRNA from 1 species